UUAUAUUACGAUUAUUUUUGUUCAGCAAGAAAAUUAACAGAAACUUUUGUUGGUCUGGUGUAGUAGAUCGAAAAGUGUUGUUUAAAUUGGAACAAUUAAAGCUUUACAAUUUUUAGAGUUCCGUACCGUAAAACAGGACUCUAUAAAUCCUCUGGCGGCUCCGCUGUCCGCCUCCAUAGUCGGUAUAGAAGAUAUCUUCUAUCACCAGGCUGUGUCUCAAUAACCGAGAAAACUAGACAGUAGAAAUUUUGACAGAUCAUGUGCUUCUGUUGCCGCAAUAACAACAAAUACUUGUCCAACUCCGGAAGGUGCUCAGACAUUUUGAGAUCUAUGCUGGACAUUUUAAGUUAUUCGAUAUUUUAGUUUAGUUACUAUUGGUUACAAUAAUAAUAAUAAUUAGCGCGUAAGAAAUAUUUGUAUUUGUAUUUUGUUUUUUAUCAUUCUUCUACGAAACAUCAAUCCGUCAAUUAAAUAUAAAAAUAUUGUGAUUAUAAAACAUCCAUGUUUUGUACAGUACUGAAGUACCUGCUAUUGAUGAGAGAAUACUGCGUCUUGUUUAACCCGCACCUACUGUAAGACUGACUAAAAUGGAUUUCGAAAACGUCGAUUACGAUUUCAAAUACUUAUUAAGUGAAACUAGUUAUGUAGAGGACGAUUGUGUUAAUGUUUUUAAUAAUAUUUUACAUCGUUAUACGUUAUCCCAGC